rnacentral:tRNA from 1 species
GCCGACGUAGCUCAGUUGGUAGAGCAACGGUUUUGUAAACCGUGGGUCGUGGGUUCGAGUCCCUCCGUCGGCUCCA